rnacentral:misc_RNA from 1 species
GAUGAAGAACGUAGCGAAAUGCGAUACUUGGUAUGAAUUGCAGAAUCCCGUGAACCAUCGAGUCUUUGAACGCAAGUUGCGCCCGAAGCCAUCAGGUUGAGGGCACGUCUGCCUGGGCGUCACAUAUCGUUGCCCAAUGCCUAUUGCAGUGCAAUAGGAAUUUCUAGGGCGAAUGAUGGCUUCCCGUGAGCGUUGUUGCCUCGCGGUUGGUUGAAAAUCGAGUCCUUGGUAGGGUGUGCCAUGGUAGAUGGUGGUCGAGUUAGAACGAUACCGAUCAUGUGCAUGCUCCCCAAAAUAUGGCCUCUAUGACCCACACGCGUCUUUUGACGCUCAUGACGAGACCUCAGGUCAGGCGGGGCUACCCGCUGAAUUUAAGCAUAUCAAUAAGCGGAGGA